AAACAAAUCGAGUGUUCUCCCUUGAACCAUUGUUGUUUCUCUACAAAAACCCCUACCUAUGUUCAAGUAAGUGUUCUGAUGCAUGGACCCAAACUCUGUAUCAGUGCCACUGGGACUCCAUCUCCUGACUGAUCGUGCUGGGGGCUCUGCCUGUCUCCAAUACUCAGGACCCUGAGCUACCACCAUCAGGGAUGGCAGAAUUUUCAACUGGACCUUGGAUAGAAGAAGAAAUCAGGGGAAGGGCAUACAAGAGGUCCCUGUGCCAUGGGAGGAUGAGGGCAUCUCCAAGUGAAUGCUUCCUCAGGCCAGCCCUGAAGCAGUAACAAGGACAAUUCUUGUUCUGAACACAGGAAUUGCCAUUCUGGAUCUCAUCAAGAGUUCAUCUAGCCAGUAUUCUGUUACAGUGUCCAGCACCAGAUGCUUCAGAGGAAGGUGCAAAAAACCCUUCAAUAGGCAGUUAUGGGAUAACUUGCCCUGACAUUCUCCUUUUAACCCCCCAAUAAUUAGAGAUUUGCUUGUGCCCUAAAGUAUGUUUAUUUUCCUUCCCAAACCAUUGUUUAUUCUUUUAAUAUUUGCUAUAACAACUCUGAAUAUUCUUGUUAACCAUAUACAGGUUGACUUCUUUUUUUUAAUCCUAGGGUCUUCGCCACAGUAAUGAAAUGUGCUACAGCGUUCCACAGGCUAAUUGUGUUGUGUGAAGAAUAAUUUCCCAUCAUCAGUUUUGAAUUUGCCACCUUUCAAUUUCAUUCAAUAGCUCUCAGUUUUUGUGUUAUAAGAGUGAAUAGAAGUUCCCAGUCUACCCUCUCUAGAGCAUUUAUCAUGGCCUCCUAUUCAUCUCCUGAGAUAACCUCAUUCUUUUCAAUCAUGAGCAUUUCCAUACCUCUAAUAAUUUGCAUUGUCCAUCUCUGAACCCCUUCUUAUGCUGCAUCUUUUGUAGUUGGGAUGACUUGAACUGAACACAGCAAUCUAGGUGAAAGCAUAUAAUUGACUUAUAUAAUGAUAUUUCAUAUUUAUCAUUUUUCUAAAAAAUUUUCCUCAGACAUCCUAAUAUUUUGUUUGUUUUGACUGCUGCUGCACAUUGAGCAGAUAUGUUCACACUGAGGCUCAAAUGUUUUCCCCGAAUUAAUAGUUAAUUUAGAUCCUAGUAAAUUGUACAAGUAGUUCAGAUUAUUUCCUCCACCGUGCAUUACUUUGCAUUUGUCAGCUUUGCAUUUUAUCUGGCAUCAUGUUGUCUAUUUACCUUGUGUGGAUAAGUCCAUCUGAAGUUCCUCAGUCUUCUCCAGUGUUGACCACUCAAGUAAUUUUGUGUCAUCUGCAGAUUUUGCUACUUCAUUGCUUUACCCCCUUUUCCAGAUAAUUAAUAAAUAUAUUAUACAACACAGGUCUUAGUACAGAAUCCCCAGGACACCCCAUUGUUACCUUUUGCCAUGAUGAAAAUUGACUAUAUUCUAAAUUCCCAGUGCCUGAUGUUCCCAGUGAGGGUUUAGCUGCUGGUCCAUAAGGGGGUUUAAGUAGGCUUCCAUUCAAGGCACUCUUCAAAUAUUUCAGUAGGUGGAUUCAGAGCUGCUGUACUUACCCCUGUGCCAGGUCCAAAGGAGGAAGCAAGUGCAAGCCCCUUGAAGGCACAAACCAGCAGUAUGACUGAAAAAGAACCUAUGAACUCCAAUAACAUUUUCCAUACAGGACACUGUAACUCGCCUGAUACCUAGCAGUGCACCUUCUAGGGACCAGAUUCAUCCCUGUGCUGACAUGGGAACAGAGGGGAUGAGGCUUGCAGCUCUCCUAUUCAAGGACUGUGGGAGUGUGUUGGGCCCCAGUGCAGGCUACGUCUAACUUGUGCCCCUACUGCAGUGAUCACUAUGGACUACUGUAGAGAUACAGAUUCUGCCCUGGCCAUGCUCCUUCCUUACCUCUUCCCUGGAACAAUUUGUGCCCUGAACUUCGUGGAGGUGGAACAGAACUGGUGGACACAGCUCUGAAACCAGUGCAGGGACCCAUGAGGAGUUUUGCCUAAAAUACAACCCUUUUGCUACAGCCUCGAUGGUACAAAGGGGUCAGAGGGCCAACGAGGAAUCUGGCCCCAGAUGUCCAAAUCUUAACAUUUUUGGUUUUCUGUGGAAAAGCCAUAGGAUCCAUAUGCUUUCUUUCAUCUCACUGAUUAUAGCAAAAGCAUACGCUGGAGCUCCUCAGCUCUCCAAAGCAAAGGCUGAGCUUGUUAGUGUUGAGGCAUCUAGACUAUCAAACCAUCCUUUUCAUGCUUUCCCCUACUAUAUAAUGUCACCCCCAUAGCAAAGACAAUAUACAACUGUUGUUUUGUGGCUGGGAAGAGUUUCCUCUGUAACUCACGGCUAAGGAGUGAACACUGCAUGAAACACCCCAUCCAAAAGAUGGGAAAUGGAACCUCUCAUGUUGUUCUUCAGCUUCUAAUUUCUUACAUACUAGGAUAAGGGAAUCCACAGUCCUUACUUUAGAGAGAGGAUUUUGGACAUUACCAGGCCUCCAGCUCACUUUCUCUUCAGAGGUUCCUUACUCUUAUAGUGGACUGCAACACUCUUAAUUCUCCCUCUUUCAUAAUAUCAAUAAGGUGAGGCCCUUAUUUUCUAUGUGUACCUGAAAGAUAAAAAACAUCUAUAUUUACAUUUGAACCUUUCAAAGGAGCCCCUCAGCAGCCUGGUACAGCAUCCAGCUCAAGCUGAUAGCCCAAUCCUGCAAGGUGUUGAUCAUCUCAUAUGGUAUCUGCAUGCCUUCAAUUGGGUACAUAAGCAAUCAUGUAACAUAGUAGGCAUUUACACCUGGGUUACAGAUUGCCUUUUAUGCAUGGUGAAACAUGAUGCAGAAGACCAAGUGACUUAACCACCCUCUAAAGUUAAACACCAGGUCUUCUUUUCCUGUAUAUCCUGACUUCUUGAAGUAUGUUAUUGCUUGUAUAGUAAUGUCUCCGUGGCUGGUCGGCGUGGGCAUAACCACACUUUCUUGGAACCCUUAGUGAACAGUACUCCAUUUCUCUGACUCAUUUUAAAACAUUUUGUUUCAACUUCCCAGCAAUAUUUACAGAACUAUUAUUCUGUAUCAGUAUAUGUUAUUUAUUCGGUGCCCAUUUACUUUGGCCUGAGAGCAAGGAACAAUGAAUCAGGGCUUCUGGGUUCUACUCUGGUUCUGCCUUUGCUACAUAAUACUGUGCAAGUAAUUUUACCUUUCUGUGCCUCAGUUUCCCUAUAUGUAAAAUGGGAAUAAUGAUACCAGUCUCAUAGGUAGGGGGAACUGAUUUCAAUAUACAUCCUAGGGAAAAAUACACAAUGAAGUAUACUACAUACUAAUGAAGAACAGUAAAAAUCUAUUUAAAACUAACUAAAAUAAUGAGAUACAAAUCUAAAUCAAUAUAACUGUCUGCUGCCAAAUGCCUUUUGAAGUAAAGUAUUUAUUCCCCACAAGUACAACACCCUUGUUAUCUCUCCAUGGUGGUGGGUUUUUGUUUUUUUUUUGGUUUUUUUGUUUUGUUUUUUGAGCUAAGGACUCUGAGAACAGGAGUCAAUCUAGUCGCUAGACUGCGGCUCAACAAGUCUAUAAGGGCCUGGCUGGCCUUUAUUUAGUGACUAUACUUUUAGUUAAUACUAUUAUUUGUUCAGUAGCUUAUUGUCACAUUCAGCAUCAGUGAAAAAUACCCUCUCCUCUAGGAACACCACCUUUCCACCUUUUAGUUAGUUUUCCUUCCUUAUAGUCCCUUCAUUCAUACAUCUCCUUUGGAUUUCGUUUUCUCCAGUAACUCCUAUCUCCUACUUCCUUAUGGUCUUCACUCCCACCUGUUUCCCCAUUCUAUCUGCUCAUGAAUAAGUAAUUAAAUGCAUUAUGUUGACACUCAAAUGCCAUCUCUUGGUUUUAAAGUUGACAUUCCAAUGAGAUGAAUGGGAGACAAUCUAUUUCACACUUCUGAGUAAUUGUUCAGGUUGUCCACAGGCUUGGCCAGACAGCAUUACAUCAGUUACACUCAUUUGACAAUUGGAAGGUCUUGCUCGUGACCAUGAGGGCUAGAAACUUAAACAAAAAAAAAGAUCAGGUUAUGCACAAUCUGAUUAUAUUGUGCUGGCCACAUAAACACAACUAUCUGGCUGGAUUUGGCUCAUGGCUGUAUGCCUGACAUCCCGGCACUAGGUGAUUUGAAUGUUAAAAAACGAAAACUGUCAUCUUAAUUCAAACAGCAGCAAUCAGCCAAUUAGGGAGGCAGUUUGGAAUCAGUUCCCUCUCCCCAUGUAAUGUUCCUGGAUUUCCUUUUGUCUCCUCAGUAGUUUCCCACCCCCAAAAUGCUGGGUUGUGUCUGGUUUCUUUGUUGUGGAUUUUGAUAUCACCUGCAAGAAGAAGGUAGA